AUUGAACGCUGGCGGCAGGCCUAACACAUGCAAGUCGAGCGGUAGCACAGGAGAGCUUGCUCUCUGGGUGACGAGCGGCGGACGGGUGAGUAAUGUCUGGGAAACUGCCUGAUGGAGGGGGAUAACUACUGGAAACGGUAGCCAAUACCGCAUAACGUCGCAAGACCAAAGAGGGGGACUUUCGGGCCUCUUGCCAUCAGAUGUGCCCAGAUGGGAUUAGCUAGUAGGUGGGGUAAUGGCUCACCUAGGCGACGAUCCCUAGCUGGUCUGAGAGGAUGACCAGCCACACUGGAACUGAGACACGGUCCAGACUCCUACGGGAGGCAGCAGUGGGGAAUAUUGCACAAUGGGCGCAAGCCUGAUGCAGCCAUGCCGCGUGUAUGAAGAAGGCCUUCGGGUUGUAAAGUACUUUCAGCGGGGAGGAAGGUGUUGAGGUUAAUAACCUCAGCGAUUGACGUUACCCGCAGAAGAAGCACCGGCUAACUCCGUGCCAGCCGCCGCCGUAAAAC
rnacentral:rRNA from 1 species